GAGAGUGGGUAGUCCGCACGAGCGCACCCUAUCACUAGUUGCCAGCACGUAAUGGUGGGGACUUUAGUGAGACUGCCGGUGAUAAACCGGAGGAAGGUGGGGACGACGUCAAGUCAUCAUGGCCCUUAUGGGCAGGGCUACACACGUGCUACAAUGGCUAAUACAAAGGGGCGCCAACCCGCGAGGGGGAGCAAAUCCAAUAAAAUUAGUCUCAGUCCGGAUCGAAGUCUGCAACUCGACUUCGUGAAGUUGGAAUCGCUAGUAAUCGCGUAUCAGCAAUGGCGCGGUGAAUACGUUCCCGGGUCUUGUACACACCGCCCGUCACACCAUGGAAGUUGGUUGCACCAGAAGUGAAUAGUUUGACCCUUUGGGGAGGGCGUUCACCACGGUGUGGUCAAUGACUAGGGUGAAGUCGUAACAAGGUAGCCGUACGGGAACGUGCGGCUGGAUCACCUCCUUUUU
rnacentral:rRNA from 1 species